rnacentral:lncRNA from 1 species
UCUCGUCCCGCACUUGGACGCUUGCCUCCGUGCCCACGCGCGUCUUGCAGCAGCCGCUUUUCCUCACCUCAUCCCUUUUCCCCACUAGCUGCCGCGCCGGUUGAGCCCUGCGUUCCUCCCCACCGUGGGGCAGCUCGCUGUCACCCGUGAUCGGGUCAGUGAUCUUCACCGAAGCGCACUGCAUGCAUCUAUGGGUCUUCGGUGUUGAUGGGGUGGAUUGGCGCAGCAGAAUUUCUCACCGUGCUUUCACCACCGCCGCGGAUGCGCCAUGCUACGCGGCCAGACUGGCCGCUGCCUCAAUCGCCGGUAAGGAACGUUCCCUGAUGCUCGCCUUCAUGCUCGCUCCCUUUCUCACCGGGUGGUUGGGGGACAGGUCGGGGGUAGCAAGAUCGGCCUGCGCCGGCGUGAUGCUCGCCGCAGAGGAGAUCGGAGCGCCGCUACACGUGCGCUAUUGGUGGAAGAAAACCCCGGCGCCGUUGGUUUGCAAAUGAACGGUCGCGAUUUGACCUGGUGGAAGAAAACCCCGGCGCCCUUUGAUCCACGCCCUUGAUCCGUGAUAUGGGGGUUGGGGCCAACACGUGUCGUUGGCAAAUUUAGGGCCAUCGCUCCGUGAUCCUACGAUCGUAGGUGCCGUUUGGUUCACAUAUUGGUAACGCAAUAGGUAACCAAUAACGUUAGAUAAUGUUUGUUUGAGUCUAACCGUAAUUAAUAACACACUAUAAAUUGAUACCUCCUUAUUCAAAUUUGUUACCGCCGGUAUUCAAGUGACAAUCGUUACCAUUACCAUUUACGUUACAUUUCAUGAACCAAACGGCACCGUAGUUGCUUACCGAUUCGUUUUAAAUGAGGAUCGAAUCCGGACCGCUGGAUCGUAAUCAGACGGCCCUAAACACUCCUUACCCCUUUGGCCAGGGACAAUUGCAA